GACGAACGCUGGCGGCGUGUUUAACACAUGCAAGUCGAACGGAAAGGCCCUGCUUUUGUGGGGUGCUCGAGUGGCGAACGGGUGAGUAACACGUGAGUAACCUGCCCUUGACUCUGGGAUAACUUCAGGAAACUGGGGCUAAUACCGGAUAGGAGCUCCUGCUGCAUGGUGGGGGUCGGAAAGUUUCGGCGGUUGGGGAUGGACUUGGGGCUUAUCAGCUUGUUGGUGGGGUAGUGGCUUACCAAGGCUUUGACGGGUAGCCGGCCUGAGAGGGUGACCGGCCACAUGGGGACUGAGCUACGGCCCGGCCUCCUACGGGAGGCAGCAGUGGGGAAUAUUGCACAAUGGGCGGAAGCCUGAUGCAGCAACGCCGCGUGCGGGAUGGUGGCCUUCGGGUUGUAAACCGCUUUCGCCUGUGACGAAGCGUGGGUGACGGUAAUGGGUAAAGAAGCACCGGCUAACUACGUG
rnacentral:rRNA from 1 species